rnacentral:rRNA from 2 species
GAGUUUGAUCAUGGCUCAGAUUGAACGCUGGCGGCAUGCCUUACACAUGCAAGUCGAACGGCAGCACGGGAGCUUGCUCCUGGUGGCGAGUGGCGAACGGGUGAGUAAUGCAUCGGAACGUAUCCUGGAGUGGGGGAUAACGUAGCGAAAGUUACGCUAAUACCGCAUAUUCUGUGAGCAGGAAAGCGGGGGACCUUCGGGCCUCGCGCUCUUGGAGCGGCCGAUGUCGGAUUAGCUAGUUGGUGAGGUAAGGGCUCACCAAGGCGACGAUCCGUAGCAGGUCUGAGAGGAUGAUCUGCCACACUGGAACUGAGACACGGUCCAGACUCCUACGGGAGGCAGCAGUGGGGAAUUUUGGACAAUGGGGGCAACCCUGAUCCAGCCAUGCCGCGUGAGUGAAGAAGGCC